GAUCAGUGAUGAAAAAUAGCCAAAUCUGAGCAUCAGAAGACCUUCCAAUCUCCCUGAUGCAUGAUCUCUAUAGUUCUGAGA
ensembl:snoRNA